UAAGUUUACUGUCUAGAUAAAUACAUAUUGUAUACUUUCUGACAAAAGAUUGUACUUCCACUACAGCCUGCAAAAUAAGGAGCAAACAAAAGUGAAGGCUAGAGAUAACCACAAAAGAUGAACAUCACCUUCCUAAACGUAAAACCAGGACCAUUGAACUACAUCAUAUGUGUCAGUCUCAAGAAUGUGGGAGUUUAGUGGAAGAGAUGAAGAAAAUGAGAUUAGGCACCUUGACCUUGUGGUUAUUGAUCAAAAGGGUUAUUCCAUGUAUGCUGAAAUACCACGGGAUGCAAUACCACUACUACAACCACAUCUACAAGAGGGGAAAAUUGUUUAUAUUACAAAGAUAAUAAUCCACAAUGCAAAACAAGGAUACAGACCUGUUGAAAGCCCUUACAUGAUCAGGCUCAACAUAAGAACACAGAUUGCACAACUUCAAGAUGAGCCAUCAGACUUUCCAAAAUAUGCAUUCUCAUUAACGCUUUUUCCUAAUCUAUAUCAACACGCAGGAAAUACAGAGAAAUUUCUAGAUGUCAUUGGUAGAAUUCUAGCUGUGUCAAAUGCAGCAAGAGUACUAACAAGUUCUGGAACUUUAAAAUGGAAGAGAAUCAUUCAUCUAGGGGAUCUGAGUGGAAACAUGAUCGAGCUAUCACUUUGGGGUCCAAGAGCUCUGGAAUUUCAGGGAGAAUCAGUCUACAACAUUGGUCAGAAGAACCAUGUUAUAGCUAUUUUUGUUGGAACUUCUAUGAAAUGCAUAAAAGAAAGUUCUUAUUUUCUAAGUGGCACAGUAGCAUGUCGUUGGUACAUCAAUGAAAAUGAUAUACCAGAAAUCAAAAUAUUCCAAAAGAGCUUACCAACUAUACCUGAUCAAGCUGUAAAGAAAAUUGACCUUCAGAGUGCAGAUGACAUUGAAAAACAUAUUGAGCAGACCACAUGCCUGCAACUUAAAGAUAUUGAUCCUUUCGACAAACUGGUAAUGUCAAAUUUAGAUUACACACAUUCCUAUUUUUAAAUUUCGUACUUUCAUUUAAUUUAUAUUUUCAACAAUGCUCAUAACAACAAAUCUCAUAUUUCCUAUUAGGGACAAAGGUAUGAAUGCACGGUUACAAUUACUGGUCUUGCAGAGAGGCAAUCUUGGUAUUAUCACGCUUGCAAGAUCUGUAAUUCAAGACAAAGAUUCAAUUGAAAGAGUUAUGAGUGCACAAAGCCAGGAUGUCCUUGCACACAAUAUGAGUACAAGUACAAAAUACCUCUUAUUGGAACCGAUAACACCUACAGCUUGGAAUUCAUGCUUUUCCAGCAAAGAGCAUUGCAGCUAAUUGGAAAAUCAGUAGACAAACUCUUAAAUGAUUAUGGUAAAAAUGAAACACCACCAGAGAUAACUUCAUUGGUUGGGCAAAAAUUCACCUUCAUUAUCAGAGUUUUGUCCAACAAGAGCAUCCAAAAGAGAGAACCAUCAUUUGAAGUCCUUAUGAUCAAACAGAGGUUUGGCAGACAAGCUAAUAUACCAGCAAUCAGCAAGGAGGAAAACCUCAGAACCACUUCAACCUCAACUUUUGAACUUGCUAAUCUACCACCUUUGGUCCCUAUAGCAAUAAACAAAAUGGAGAUACAGCACUCACCUUUUGAAUCACAGCUACCAGAAGAUAUCCAAUAUAUGGAAAUAGACAAAACUAGCACAUGGGGUGAGAAUGAAAAUACAAACAAAAGGAAUUUUAAAGACUUUGAAGAUAAUCAGCAGGACUCCAACGAUAGCAAUGACGACAAUACCCCUUUGAAACAAACUAAAAGAACACACUCGCAAGGGAAGAGCAAACAGUAAAGAUAUAUCGUCCUUCACAAUCUAAACUACAUAUGAAGUGGAUUGCUUUUGGGUACAAACUACCAGCUAUGUUGGCUGGAUUGCUUUUGUUGUAUAUAGCACCUCUUAUGAAGAAUAGUCAGAGCCGAACAACAGAACUGCCAUCAUUACCCAUACAAGUGUUGGGUAGAUCUUCUGCUGUAAACGGUUCCUCAAAUAUAAACAAACAGGAGCUACCUUUUGUUGUAUAUAGCAGCUCCUAUGAAGAAUGGUCAGAGCAGGACAACAAAACUGCCAUCAUCACCGAUAGAACUGUUCGGUGCAUCUUUUGCUGUAAAUAGUUCCUACAGGGUCAAUAUCCACCUUAUCAUUUGGUAACUCAUCUGUUUUACUGUGUUCGUCUCUCUCCUUGGUCGUCA